GCACCCUUACCAGGAGCUGCAUGGUGUCAGCUGCGGACUCGAGGGCGUCGCGGGCUCAGCCGGCUCCGCGGACUGAACGCGCCGUCCCUCUUGAUCUCCAGGCCCCUUGCAGCGCCCUGAGCCUCUGCUGCUGGCCCGGGGCGCUGCCCAGGUCUCUGCUGCCCGCUGGGCCUGUUCGUUCAGUCGCUCAGGCUCGUUCACAACCCCACCCAGACAUCCUGCCUGAGCCAGUGACACUGCCCAUCCUGCCCGGUCCUGAGUGGGCUCCCGGACGAUAAGCACGGAGGCCGCCUUCAACUCACUUUAUUAAACCCACCCUGCCUGGGUUCUUGGAAGGCUGGCUUGCCAGACUCAUUCUCUUCCAACUGCUCACCUCUCAGCUGACAUCUCAGCCUAAGGAGCCACCUAGAUGCCAGGGCCAUGGGUGGCCUUCCUGCUAGGAAUGCUGGGAAUCCUUUCCUUCCCGAGGAGCCAGGUCCGGACACCCACACCCCGUGAUGGUCUCAGCCACGCCGCCCAGCCUGAGUUCUGACUCAGGGGUCUGACUUCCCCCAGGUUCUGUCGUGGAAGGUGCUAGCACAGUCGCUACAGCCAGCUGGCUUGAGGUCAGAUCCUACCUUCCAGCACUUAGAAGUCGUGACACUUUGAGCAAGUUGCUUAACCUCUCUGGACCGGUUGCUCUCCUCUAGGAAACGUGGAUGAUAAUAGGAGUGAUGAAUUUGUACAUGUAAGGUGCUUAGAGCCGGGCCUGGCCCUCAGA